rnacentral:miRNA from 1 species
GCAAGUUGUUCUUGGCUAGC